rnacentral:tRNA from 1 species
GCCUGGGUGGCUCAGUCGGUUAAGCGUCUAACUUUAGCUCAGGUCAUGAUCUCAUGGUGUGGGUUCCAGCCCCGCCUCAGGCU